rnacentral:rRNA from 1 species
AUUGAACGCUGGCGGCAGGCCUAACACAUGCAAGUCGAGCGAGCGGCGGACGGGUGAGUAAUGUCUGGGAAACUGCCUGAUGGCGGGGGAUAACUCCUGGAAACGGUAGCUAAUACCGCCUACAAUCAGAUGUGCCCAGAUGGGAUUAGCUAGUCGGUGGGGUAACGGCCCACCUAGGCGACGCUCCCUAGCUGGGCUGCGAGGAUGACCAGCCACACUGGAACUGAGACACGGUCCAGACUCCUCCGGGAGGCAGCAGUGGGGAAUAUUGCACAAUGGGCGCAAGCCUGAUGCAGCCAUGCCGCGUGUGUGAAGAAGGCCUUCGGUUUGUAAAGCACGUUCAGCGGGGAGGCGUUACCCGCAGAAGAAGCACCGGCUAACUCCGUGCCAGCCGCCGCGGUAAUAC